UAGUUGGAGUUUCAAUGUCAAACACUAAAAAUUAAAGAAAUGAAUCGACAGAAAAGUAGAAGGAUAUGGUAGACCUGAAAAACCCAAUUCAACAUAAUUAAGAUUUGCACAAUUUUCCCAGAAUAGUAGAUACAAAUUCUAUUCACGUUCCCAUAGACUAUAAACCAGGAGACACUGGAACAUACCCAGGGACAUAAAACAAGGUGCCAAACUUUCAUGGUCUAAAAGUAUUGAAAUCAUACAGAGUCUGUUCUCUUAUCACUGUGGAAUUAUGUUAGAAAUCAAUAGAAAAAUAUUUGAAAAUAACCCACAUAUUUUCAAGGGAAAUAUGAUAUUUACCAAUACAGAUCUUUGACUUAGCCACUGAAAGCCUCAAUAAAGUUAAAAAGACUGAAAAAAAAAAAAAAACACAGAGGAGGAUUGCAGAGAAGAAAGCAAAAGAUCAUUAAACUUGCAAUUAUCUCCAGGACUGGCCAGCCUUGGGGAGGGAAUGUGUUAAUUUCUUCCUUCCUGUAGUUACCCACAGUUUAACAGGGUCCUGAACAAACGCAUUUUCGUUUAACAUUCAGGCAGAGUGGUGGGGUUUCCUGAGGCAGUGAACAAAAUGUUCACUAAAAGGAACAUAGUGAACAAAAUGUUCCUUUUAGUGAUUAGUGAACAAAAGCAAUGGGAAGCAAAGGUUAAAGUAAAAGAAACAGAUCCAACAUGGAGUAAAAUUUUGUUCCUCUCUGUCAUACCCAUUGAUCAGUUGAAAAAAGUUACUCUUAAAUCAAAUUUUGAUUAAAUUUCUUUCCUUCCUCCUGGGCCCUGUAAAGGAAAGGUACAUUGCUCAAAAUAGCCCGGAAUUAAAACUCCCCUCCAGGUCCUCCCCUCCAUUCUAUGCAAAACGCAAAACACAAAACUCUCUCACCAGAAGAAGAAAAUGGACAUUAAGGGUGAUUACGCCCAGCUCCCAACUGGUCCAGCCUCUGGCUGAUCUCCAGAAUUCCUUGCCCCAGCUGUUUAAGAGAUAACUACUCCAAACAACCUUGGAGAAAAACAGGUCCCCUUAAGACAGUAGCUUUCCACCUAUAUGCCUAUAUAUACUUAGUCUUUUCUUGGGUUAGCAUUAAUCUGACUGCUGCCCCUUCUCGCCUCAUUAAAGGUGAUCUGUUCCUGUAAAGUGCCGGCCUCAUUCUUUUUCCAAACCUCGCCUUCUCUAACUCUCUUACCCUACACUCUGAACUUUGGCCCCAGCCUCACCUGAGCCAGCAGACAGCAUCUCUUGAGAACAGGAAAACUUCUGAGCUGCUGUCUCAUUACAACAUCCUUUCAUCCCUUCCCCCCAAUCCUAGAAAGCUCAAUUCUUUCUAGUAUUCCUAUUGUCAGGCGAGUGUAUGCUCCUCGGUUCUGUCUCACCACAACAAAGAUUUGGAGUGACAGACAUUAGAGCCCUUGGCGUAUCACAGCUCUCGGGUCUUGGACAGACCGUGUUAUAGCUCUCAGGUCUCAAACGGACCGUGUUAUAGCUCUAAGACAAAUCAGUGCUACAGCUCUAUUUUAUUUAGAUAAUAGCAGGAAAAUCCAUCCUGGAGGCGUAAGGGCACGUCAACCCAAAGACACAAAGAGAUCGCCCCGGGGCGCGGGAGACCGCAAUUUUGGACUCCUGUUUCCUAUUUUAACCACCUAACACUAUAAAAGAAAAUUUUUGGAACAAAAAUCUUGAAAUGCUUAUCAGAGUGUUCUCCUGCCCUAUUUCAAUAUCUUCCCUUUCUCCCUUGAAGAAUCCUUCUGAAUAAAGUCUCUUAAGUCUGGGUUUGUUUUCUAUUUGACAGAGUAACGAUCCAUGUGCCUAGCCUGACAUAUAUGGUGUAGGGGAGAAAAAAAUUCUGUACCCUCUUUGGGGUAUUAUUUUUAGUAGUUUUAAUUAUGUAUAUUAAUUUAAAAUCUUAAUUCUUAGAAACCUUAAUUUUUAGUGAAGCAAGAAGCUUCUUCACUAAAAGAAGUGAACUAAGAAGAAAGUAAUUGUUAACUGUUACAUACCAAUCAUUCUGUAGAUCAACAAAUUUGUGAAUAUACUAUUUCAUAUUUCCAGAAGCAUACACUUCUUCAGAGUACAAUUUUUCAUUGUGGCACAAGACAUGUUUACUGAAAGACCUUUAAAAUCUUUGUGUUAGGUAGGUAGAAUAGGGAAAAGGAGUCCAAAAUGGCGGUGGCUAAAAGACAAGGAAGGUCAAAGGAAGGUCCAAGGACCAGAGUGAAGACUUCAGGCAGAACAAACAGCACUCCUGGCUAAGUCCAAUUUGCAUAGGGCAGGCCCAGGUGGAGGAAAAAACAUAUGAAAGGAGGAGCCAAAGCGCUUUCUCAUGGACUCUUUCUCCCGCAUGCGCGCGCUCUUUUCUUUCUCUCUCUCACUCUCAUGCUAUCUUCUAAAUAAAAUAGAGCUGUAACACUGAUUUGCCUAAGAGCUGUAGCAUGGUUUGUCCAAGACCUGAGAGCUGUGACGCGCCGAGGGCUUUAAUGUCCGUUGCUCCAAAUCUUUGUUGUGACAAGACAAAGAACCGAGGAACAUACACUCGUGUGACAUCUAGUUCAAAUAGAAAGUCCAAAGCAGUCUUAUAGGAUCUUAGUUCCCCAACCAGGGAUGGAACCUGUGCCUCCAGCAAUGAAAAUGCCCAAGUCCUAACUACUGGAUCUCCAGGGAAUCCCCACAUUAUCUUAUAUUCAGUUAAGCCAUCAUUUGACUUAACUGAGUAGAACUUAAAAGUUACCAGAAAAGAUUUUGGAAACUAUUUUAAAGUAGACAUAUUUUAUAAAACAUCAUCCUUGUUGAAAACGUUGUAAGUUUCAUCUCCCAUUUAUUUAACUUGCUUGUUGUUAACCAUUAUGCUGAGAUUACUUUAAAAAUUUCAUGAAAUAUUAAAGUCAUCAAAAUUUUUCUUGCUGACAAAUUUUGUAAUAUAUGUGUAUACCAGGCAAACAUCCAAUCCUAUAGUGCUGGGGAAUCUCCCAGGACCUUCUGAAGGUCUGUUUGCAUGUGAAGAGGGAAUGUGCAAGUUUUCUUACUGUUCAGCCUGUAUGUGAGCCUGAGAGUUCUGAGGGCUUUUAGAUCUAAAGAAAGCUCGGGCAAGUCUAGACUUGUCUGGGGGCCCAACCUUUCUGGGUCUAUUUGCAUAACGAUAAUGAACAGUUCUUACAGUACAGAGUUAAUUGCAAGGAAGAAAAGAGCCUUGUAACUGUAAUAUUCUUAUGGGAAACACGCUGACUGAAACCGCUCACCCUGGCCAGUCACCAUAGUAACCAUUUAUUUAUGAGUUAUAUUAGGACAGGAGGUCCUGGUAAGGAACACAGAACUAACAUGUCACCACCUUUCAGGAAAGGUCAAAAGGAGACGCUGCAUGUCCUACCACCUCCCAGAAUCAUCCUCACUGGUUGAUUUUUGGCAUCCGUUUUCAAUGAGCAAUGCCUGAGCCUCCAGGAAGUUCCCUGAGUCAGAAUGAUUGGCCAAAGACAACCUGGAAAUUAACCCAAUUAGCACAAACCCAAGACCGCAAGGCACAGGGCAGAGCAUUUCUCCUGGGUUCCCUCAUCCUGAUGUUCUCCACCCAGGCAUCCCUUCCCAACAGAGUCUCUUGCUGUGUCAGCCCAUGUGUUUCCUCAGACAAUUCAUUUCUGAGUAUUAGACAAGAGCCCCUUUUCAGGACCUGGAACAGGUUUCCCCUUCCUGCAAUAGUAUCAUCUUGUUAUAAGAUGAGAGAAAAGAAAGAGAGUCUGCCUCAGGUACGCCAGGAUGGACUUUUGCUUUCUCUGGGUCUUAUGUGACUCCCAGGGAAACGGAUUGACUAUGAGGAAGAAUUCUCAGAUCAGUUUUUCUGAGAAGGAACAACCUUGUCAACCUCUCUUACAAUGCCUUGUUGGGGAAAAUCUCAAUGUCCGGGAGCUUUAAUUUAAAGCUUCUCCAGUACUGUGCCUAUGGGCAUUUAUUUUCAUGCAUUUUAAAACCCACUACAAUACAUAGAAUUAAGUCUAGGUUGUGACUAUUUCAAAGGAACUAUAAGCAUGAAAGUUAAUGAGCCAAAUCCGAGCCUUUUCCCAUUGGAUCAUGUCAACUGCAAAUUGACACUUACCGUGGGUGCUUGCCAUCUACCUCUACAAGGAUUAAACCGUGUACUGCAGCAGAAGCUGACCUUCAAAAGCUCCUGAAAGGAUUUCAGGGUGGAGAGCAGAAAUGAGUCACUGUGUUUGGGGGAAAAACUGACAGGACAGGUCUUAAGAUAGAUAGUCUCAGGGGCUGGUUUUAUGAGUCCAAUUCUUGUAUCUCUUCAUCUCUAGAAAAGCACUAAAAUCCAUCAUGGUGAUGACUAUUUUUUGUGACUUAAAGAAAGCUUCACGGAGAUCAGCAGAGAGUUCCUGGAAAAAUAUGUGCUUGAUUGCACGUGCUCCCCCUUCACCAAAAUCACAUCUUUACUGACCUUCCUGCCUGCCUCUUUGGAGCAGUCUGUCAGAGCUAUCGGAGGUGCUGUCUCCCGGGCUGCAGUCCUCAUUCUACCUUCCAAUAAAACUUAACUUACAACUC